rnacentral:rRNA from 1 species
GAGUGAAGCGGCAAAAGCUCAAAUUUGAAAUCCUCAGGGAAUUGUAUUUUGAAGGUUGACAGAGAUUGAAGGAUUCUUCUUAAGUUCAUUGGAAAAUGACGCCAUAGAGGGUGAUAGCCCCGUGAAGAAACCAAAUCCAUCUAUUUCUCUGUUCUCCAAAGAGUCGAGUUGUUUGGGAAUGCAGCUCUAAGUGGGUGGUAAAUUCCAUCUAAAGCUAAAUAUUGGCGAGAGACCGAUAGCGAACAAGUACAGUGAUGGAAAGAUGAAAAGCACUUUGAAAAGAGAGUGAAAAAGUACGUGAAAUUGUUGAAAGGGAAGGGCUUGCAAGCAGACACAACCUCGUGUUGGGCCAGCAUCGGGGCGAGGGGAAGUAAAACAGUCAAGAAAUAUAACUCCCUUCGGGGAGCAUUACAGUCUUUGUCCUACCACUUCCAUCU